CUGAAUAGGGCGCAUAAGUAACAGGUCGUAGACCCGAAACCAGGUGAUCUACCCAUGUCCAGGAUGAAGGUAAGGUAAUACUUACUGGAGGUCCGAACCCACGCACGUUGAAAAGUGCGGGGAUGAGGUGUGGGUAGCGGAGAAAUUCCAAUCGAACUUGGAGAUAGCUGGUUCUCUCCGAAAUAGCUUUAGGGCUAGCCUCGAGGUAAAGAGUCAUGGAGGUAGAGCACUGUUUGGACUAGGGGCCCUUCUCGGGUUACCGAAUUCAGAUAAACUCCGAAUGCCAUGUACUUAUACUCGGGAGUCAGACUGCGAGUGAUAAGAUCCGUAGUCGAAAGGGAAACAGCCCAGACCACCAGUUAAGGUCCCCAAAUAUAUGUUAAGUGGAAAAGGAUGUGGGGUUGCUUAGACAACCAGGAUGUUGGCUUAGAAGCAGCCACCAUUGAAAGAGUGCGUAAUAGCUCACUGGUCGAGUGACCCCGCGCCGAAAAUGUACCGGGGCUAAACAUAUUACCGAAACUGUGGAUGAACCUCUUUAGAGGUUCGUGGUAGGAGAGCGUUCUAAGGGCGGUGAAGUCAGACCGGAAGGACUGGUGGAGCGCUUAGAAGUGAGAAUGCCGGUAUGAGUAGCGAAAGAAGGGUGAGAAUCCCUUCCACCGAAUAUCUAAGGUUUCCUGAGGAAGGCUCGUCCGCUCAGGGUUAGUCGGGACCUAAGCCGAGGCCGAU
rnacentral:rRNA from 1 species